rnacentral:sRNA from 1 species
CAAUGGCAAAGAAAUAGAUAUUUAAUU